rnacentral:rRNA from 1 species
AAUUUGACUCAACACGGGAAACCUCACCAGGCCAGGACACUGGAAGGAUUGACAGAUUGAUAGCUCUUUCUUGAUUCAGUGGGUGGUGGUGCAUGGCCGUUCUUAGUUGGUGGAGUGAUUUGUCUGGUUAAUUCCGAUAACGAACGAGACUCUAGCCUACUAAAUAGACGUUUCUGGUAUCCACAAUAGUGCUACCAGCGAACAAGUAUUUCUUCUUAGAGGGACAGGCGGCUUCUAGCCGCACGAGACUGAGCAAUAACAGGUCUGUGAUGCCCUUAGAUGUCCUGGGCCGCACGCGCGCUACACUGAAGGAAUCAGCGUGUCUUCCCUGGCCGAAAGGUCCGGGUAACCCGUUGAACCUCCUUCGUGCUAGGGACUGGGGCUUGCAAUUGUUCCCCAUGAACGAGGAAUUCCCAGUAAGCGCAAGUCAUAAGCUUGCGUUGAUUACGUCCCUGCCCUUUGUACACACCGCCCGUCGCUACUACCGAUUGAAUGAUUUAGUGAGGUCUUCGGACUGGUGCUCGGCGAUCGCCUCGGUGGUCACCGG